rnacentral:rRNA from 1 species
UACGUAGGUGGCAAGCGUUGUCCGGAAUUAUUGGGCGUAAAGCGCGCGCGAGGCGGUCCUUUAAGUCUGAUGUGAAAUCCCCGAGCUCAACCCGGGAACUGCGUCCGAUACUGGCAGGCUUGAAUCCGGGAGAGGGAUGCGGAAUUCCAGGUGUAGCGGUGAAAUGCGUAGAUAUCUGGAGGAACACCGGUGGCGAAGGCGGCAUCCUGGACCGGCAUUGACGCUGAGGCGCGAAAGCCAGGGGAGCAAACGGA